rnacentral:rRNA from 1 species
AGAGUUUGAUCCUGGCUCAGAAUGAACGCUGGCGGCGUGCUUAACACAUGCAAGUCGUACGAGAACUCUUUAGCUUGCUAGAGAUAGUAAAGUGGCGUACGGGUGAGUAACGCGUGGGUAAUCUACCUCCGAAUUGGGGAUAACCCGCCGAAAGGCGAGCUAAUACCGGAUAAUAUCUAUAAAACUUCGGUUUUAAAGAUCAAAGGUGGUCUCUACAUGUAAGCUACUGUUUGGAGAUGAGCCCGCGUACCAUUAGCUUGUUGGUAGGGUAAUGGCCUACCAAGGCUUCGAUGGUUAGCUGGUCUGAGAGGAUGAUCAGCCACACUGGAACUGAUACACGGUCCAGACUCCUACGGGAGGCAGCAGUGAGGAAUUUUGCGCAAUGGGGGAAACCCUGACGCAGCAACGCCGCGUGAGUGAUGAAGGCUUUCGGGUCGUAAAGCUCUGUCAAGUGGGAAGAACAUGCUUGAUGCUAAUACCAUCGUGCACUGACGGUACCACUGAAGGAAGCACCGGCUAACUCCGUGCCAGCAGCCGCGGUAAUACGGGGGGUGCAAGCGUUAUUCGGAAUUAUUGGGCGUAAAGGGCGCGUAGGCGGUCUCUUAAGUCAGAUGUGAAAGCCCGGGGCUUAACCCCGGAAGUGCAUUUGAAACUAAGGGACUUGAGUAUGGGAGAGGGAAGUGGAAUUCCUGGUGUAGAGGUGAAAUUCGUAGAUAUCAGGAGGAACACCGGUGGCGAAGGCGACUUCCUGGACCAAUACUGACGCUGAGGCGCGAAGGCGUGGGGAGCAAACAGGAUUAGAUACCCUGGUAGUCCACGCAGUAAACGGUGAACACUAGGUGUAGCGGGUAUUGACCCCUGCUGUGCCGUAGCUAACGCAUUUAGUGUUCCGCCUGGGGAGUACGGUCGCAAGAUUAAAACUCAAAGGAAUUGACGG